rnacentral:rRNA from 1 species
GAUGAACGCUGGCGGCGUGCCUAAUACAUGCAAGUCGAGCGAACGGACGAGAAGCUUGCUUCUCUGAUGUUAGCGGCGGACGGGUGAGUAACACGUGGAUAACCUACCUAUAAGACUGGGAUAACUUCGGGAAACCGGAGCUAAUACCGGAUAAUAUUUUGAACCGCAUGGUUCAAAGUGAAAGACGGUCUUGCUGUCACUUAUAGAUGGAUCCGCGCUGCAUUAGCUAGUUGGUAAGGUAACGGCUUACCAAGGCAACGAUGCAUAGCCGACCUGAGAGGGGCACGGCAAAUACGGGAGCGACACCCCGGCCAAGACACAAAGGAGAGGCAGAAGGGGGAAACCGUCAGCAGGGGGGAAAGGCCUGAAGGAACACGCAAGCGGGGGUUAUGAAGUUAUACAGAUCGGAAAAAUCUUGUAUACGGAAAGAAAGAAGGGAGAAGCAACUGUGCAAAUCGUGACGAUACCGAAGAAGAAACCCACGGCUAACUACGGACCAGAAGGCGCAUAAUGAUGGAAGAGCAGCCGUCUGACC